rnacentral:rRNA from 1 species
GACGAACCGUGCGAACGUUGUUCGGAAUCACUGGGCCUAGAGGGCGCGUAGGCGGCUUAUCAAGUCAGGGGUGAAAUCCGGCAGCUUAACUGUCGAAGUGCCCUCGAUACUGAUGAGCUCGAGGGAGAUAGGGGUGUGUGGAACUUCCGGUGGAGCGGUGAAAUGCGUUGAUAUCGGAAGGAACGCCGGUGGCGAAAGCGACACACUGGAUCUCUUCUGACGCUGAGGCGCGAAAGCCAGGGGAGCAAACGGG